rnacentral:rRNA from 1 species
UUUCCAGACUCCUACGGGAGGCAGCAGUGAGGAAUAUUGGUCAAUGGGCGGGAGCCUGAACCAGCCAAGUCGCGUGAAGGAUGAAGGAUCUAUGGUUUGUAAACUUCUUUUAUAUGGGAAUAAAGUGAGGAACGUGUUCCUUUUUGUAUGUACCAUAUGAAUAAGCAUCGGCUAACUCCGUGCCAGCAGCCGCGGUAAUACGGAGGAUGCGAGCGUUAUCCGGAUUUAUUGGGUUUAAAGGGUGCGUAGGCGGGCUUUUAAGUCAGCGGUAAAAAUUCGGGGCUCAACCCCGUCCGGCCGUUGAAACUGGGGGCCUUGAGUGGGCGAGAAGAAGGCGGAAUGCGUGGUGUAGCGGUGAAAUGCAUAGAUAUCACGCAGAACCCCGAUUGCGAAGGCAGCCUUCCGGCGCCCUACUGACGCUGAGGCACGAAAGUGCGGGGAUCGAACAGGAUUAGAUACCCGCGUAAG